UUAGGAGGAAACACUUAUUUCUCAAUCUUGAAACUUGUAGCUUUUGUAGUAAAAUUUCGAAGAAAGAGAACAUAUUUUAACUUAAUUUGACGAAGCUUGGGCUUCUAUUUGUGCAGAGAAUGCAAUUAAUGGCGGUCUCCUUGGAGGGUGAUGAUCAUGUGGAAAUCGGUGAAGUGACCUGCCUUCUCCCUCACUCCCUUCAUCUGUUGUUAAUGUUUUUUCUGCUGUCUUUUCCUUUUGGUUGAUGUUAACAUAAUAUCCUUGUUUUUUUCGGGUUGUCGCCGUGAGAUGGGCGGCGUGCAGGAAGAGUCGUGGAUGGCUCUUUCAGUUGCAGCCACCAUGGCGCUGCUAAUGUGGUUGGCCAACCCCACCUGGUAGAAGGGGAGAGGUAGAGAGGAGGGGCCGCUCUGCUCCCUAUUGGCUUCUUCCCUGUUGCCUAUAGCUAGAGGGUGAGAUCCUCUCUCUCUCUUUCUCCUCCUCUCCUGUCUGUAAAUUUCAAAUAUUGGUUGUCCAGGACUGCUGGUGGUGGUGGCGUUCUUCUUUCCCCUCCUGGAUCCUCUCUCUAAUCAAGAGAAAGGGAGAGAAGCAACCUCCUGGGAGUAGCAUCCCUACAGAGAGAGAGAGUGUGUAUGUGUGUUUUAACAUCAGAUGUGAGGCAGGGUGAUGCUAAUCUCAGUGGAAGGAGGGUUCAUCUCCUCGUCAGCUUCCGGGUACUCCAAGGGCCUUGCCUUACUUCUCUUCUGGAUCGGUGGUGGUGGUCGUCGUCGUCGUAGGAGGAGGAGGAGGAGGGGUUGGACGGACGACAGUCCCAUGAGAGUGCUUCCCUGGAACCGCCAGUAUCAAUUGGUUUCACAGGAGGAGAUCACCGCCGAGUACCCGCUGGCUCCUGCCGAGCACCGGGCGAAGACCCGCCGGGUUUGCAAGCCCUUUCUUUGCUUUGGCCGGCCACCACCACCGGGCCUCGAUGGUCCACCCUCGCCUCUCAAAGUCGAGCCAGUCGUCCAUCAGCAGGAGUACUCAUCGACCUCGCCGUCCGGGGUGAUCGCGGGAACAGCCGACGGGGUUGACGAACUGGGUGUAAAGGUUUUUCAAAAGAGUAGCCUAAAGAAGCCAUCGGCCGGUGGGAGUGAUGGUGGUGGUCCUGCUGCUAAGGAAGUUGAGGGGGAGAAUGACGAGAGCUCAGUGUUGGAUACUGCAGCGAAGAGGAAAGUUCAGUGGACCGACGGCUGGGGCCGUGAUCUUACCGAGAUCAGGGAAUUCGAACCAAGAAUGGAGAGUUGAGGCAACUGGUAGUUGUAUACUGGACAGUGGACACUGAGAUAAUAUAUCCAGCAGCUGAAUAUUGAAUAAAGGGAAACACAAAAGAUUUGAAAACCCAAGAAAGCAAUUUAAAGUACAAGAAGUUGAAGAGCAGAACAUCCUAUGCAGCUCUCUCUAAUGGAAGAGUUAUUUUCUUCCUGAUGUAUGUGAUCCUGCCAUCUUUCUGAUACGCCGCUGUUCUGGCUUUUCUGUCUUGGAAAUUUUUCUUCAUAUAGUACUAGGUCUGUUGUGGUUGAAGCAGUAAAGGGUUUUCCAUUUCCAGCACACAUCCUGUGCUAGAACAUGACACCUUGUGGGUCUGGUAAUAUCCCAUGAUCCUUAUGGCCCUGUGGAGAUAUGGGUCUAGAUUGAAUGGCUCUCUAUAUAUUGGAAGUUAUGUAUACCAGUUCUGUUAAUGUUCAAGUGAAAAAUGGCUUUCUAAGGUGCAGCGUUGCUAGAACUUUUUGGUGUAGUAUUACUGUUAAUAAUCCUUUUGGUAUCAGUGUGGAAGUUGGGUAGAUAUAUGAUAAAUUUGCAGUACCUUCUCCAAUGUGAACCAUGCUUUGCCUCCUUCACAGCCUCUGACCAAGCCCCGCUUGCACUAGUUACAAAAUUCACGGUCAGAGCAUGUCAAGGUUCAGGAUGUAUUAUUUGUUCUUCUGUAUGUGUAGAAUAUAGAUUAUGGUCAUUCUUCAGUGUUGCGUUGCCUCCUUGCUUCUUAUAGAAGACAGAUAUGGUCGUUGCGGAGAAGCAUGCUGCUUUCCUUGCUUCAUUAUCUUAGUUUUUUGUUGUUCUAUGACUAUUUCUUUGGGUUUUCAAGCGAGCUAAUUUUGUUUUCGUUUGGAGCAUUAUAAGACACAUCAUUGGAAGGGUGCUGACUCUUAAAAUGUAGUAUUCUUAACAUGAAGCAGCAUGGUGUGGAAUCCAUCUCGGUGUCUACCAUGGACAACUUACUGUUAGAAGUAGGCACCAUCUGGCUCAAAGGCCAACAACUUCUCAUUGUACUCCUCACACUUUAAUUCCUACUUUCAGAAUAUAAUCUCGUGAUAGAGAAUGCUGGUACCUGGUUUAUGUGAUCUUUUGAUUCUUUUUCUUUCAAAAUAUCUAAGAUAACCAUUCCAUCCAUUUCCUAGCCUCAUAAGAGUUGCAGAACUUUGCAUUAUCUUGUAACCAUAUUUGUACCUGUUUAUCAACAUACCGAUCGCACCCCCAAUUUCUAAUUUUUUGUUCUUGA